rnacentral:rRNA from 1 species
AUGGGGCGUGCUUACACAUGCAAGUCGAACGGUGAAGCCAAGCUUGCUUGGUGGAUCAGUGGCGAACGGGUGAGUAACACGUGAGCAACCUGCCCUGGACUCUGGGAUAAGCGCUGGAAACGGCGUCUAAUACUGGAUAUGAGACGUGAUCGCAUGGUCGUGUUUGGAAAGAUUUUUCGGUCUGGGAUGGGCUCGCGGCCUAUCAGCUUGUUGGUGAGGUAAUGGCUCACCAAGGCGUCGACGGGUAGCCGGCCUGAGAGGGUGACCGGCCACACUGGGACUGAGACACGGCCCAGACUCCUACGGGAGGCAGCAGUGGGGAAUAUUGCACAAUGGGCGAAAGCCUGAUGCAGCAACGCCGCGUGAGGGAUGACGGCCUUCGGGUUGUAAACCUCUUUUAGCAGGGAAGAAGCGAAAGUGACGGUACCUGCAGAAAAAGCGCCGGCUAACUACGUGCCAGCAGCCGCGGUAAUACGUAGGGCGCAAGCGUUAUCCGGAAUUAUUGGGCGUAAAGAGCUCGUAGGCGGUUUGUCGCGUCUGCUGUGAAAUCCCGAGGCUCAACCUCGGGCCUGCAGUGGGUACGGGCAGACUAGAGUGCGGUAGGGGAGAUUGGAAUUCCUGGUGUAGCGGUGGAAUGCGCAGAUAUCAGGAGGAACACCGAUGGCGAAGGCAGAUCUCUGGGCCGUAACUGACGCUGAGGAGCGAAAGGGUGGGGAGCAAACAGGCUUAGAUACCCUGGUAGUCCACCCCGUAAACGUUGGGAACUAGUUGUGGGGACCAUUCCACGGUUUCCGUGACGCAGCUAACGCAUUAAGUUCCCCGCCUGGGGAGUACGGCCGCAAGGCUAAAACUCAAAGGAAUUGACGGGGACCCGCACAAGCGGCGGAGCAUGCGGAUUAAUUCGAUGCAACGCGAAGAACCUUACCAAGGCUUGACAUAUACGAGAACGGGCCAGAAAUGGUCAACUCUUUGGACACUCGUAAACAGGUGGUGCAUGGUU